rnacentral:rRNA from 1 species
UACGUAGGGUGCAAGCGUUGUCCGGAAUUAUUGGGCGUAAAGAGCUCGUAGGCGGUUUGUCGCGUCUGCUGUGAAAUCCCGAGGCUCAACCUUGGGCUUGCAGUGGGUACGGGCAGACUAGAGUGCGGUAGGGGUGACUGGAAUUCCUGGUGUAGCGGUGGAAUGCGCAGAUAUCAGGAGGAACACCGGUGGCGAAGGCGGGUCUCUGGGCCGAUACUGACGCUGAGGAGCGAAAGCGUGGGGAGCGAACAGG